GACGAACACUGGCGGCGUGCUUAACACAUGCAAGUCGAACGGAAAGGCCCUGCUUUUGUGGGGUGCUCGAGUGGCGAACGGGUGAGUAACACGUGAGUAACCUGCCCUUGACUUUGGGAUAACUUCAGGAAACUGGGGCUAAUACCGGAUAGGAGCUCCUGCUGCAUGGUGGGGGUUGGAAAGUUUCGGCGGUUGGGGAUGGACUCGCGGCUUAUCAGCUUGUUGGUGGGGUAGUGGCUUACCAAGGCUUUGACGGGUAGCCGACCUGAGAGGGUGACCGGCCACAUUGGGACUGAGAUACGGCCCAGACUCCUACGGGAGGCAGCAGUGGGGAAUAUUGCACAAUGGGCGGAAGCCUGAUGCAGCAACGCCGCGUGCGGGAUGACGGCCUUCGGGUUGUAAACCGCUUUCGCCUGUGACGAAGCGUGAGUGACGGUAAUGGGUAAAGAAGCACCGGCUAACUACGUG
rnacentral:rRNA from 1 species